rnacentral:rRNA from 1 species
GCGAAUGCUGACAUAAGUAACGAUAAAGCGGGUGAAAAGCCCGCUCGCCGGAAGACCAAGGGUUCCUGUCCAACGUUAAUCGGGGCAGGGUGAGUCGACCCCUAAGGCGAGGCCGAAAGGCGUAGUCGAUGGGAAACAGGUUAAUAUUCCUGUACUUGGUGUUACUGCGAAGGGGGGACGGAGAAGGCUAUGUUGGCCGGGCGACGGUUGUCCCGGUUUAAGCGUGUAGGCUGGUUUUCCAGGCAAAUCCGGAAAAUCAAGGCUGAGGCGUGAUGACGAGGCACUACGGUGCUGAAGCAACAAAUGCCCUGCUUCCAGGAAAAGCCUCUAAGCAUCAGGUAACAUCAAAUCGUACCCCAAACCGACACAGGUGGUCAGGUAGAGAAUACCAAGGCGCUUGAGAGAACUCGGGUGAAGGAACUAGGCAAAAUGGUGCCGUAACUUCGGGAGAAGG